rnacentral:rRNA from 1 species
CUUCACUAUAGCCUGUCAUUGAGCCUUUGUUUCUGUUGCUUAGAAUAGGUGGGAGACUUUGAUUCUAGAUUUUCGGAUCUGGAGGAGUCGAAAUGUGAAAUACCACCCUGCAGUAGCGAAGUUUCUAACCCCGAUUUAACCUGUCGGGGAACAGUGGCUGGUGGGUAGUUUAACUGGGGCGGUUGCCUCCUAAAGUGUAACGGAGGCGUUUAUUAAGGUAGGCUAGACGCGGAUGGAAAUCGCGUCGGUAGUGCAAACGCAUAAGCCUGCUUGACUGCAAGAGUGGCAACUCGCGCAGGUACGAAAGUAGAAGUUAGUGAUCCGAUGCGUUCGAGUGGAAGACGCAAAGCCCAACGGAUAAAAGUUA